rnacentral:rRNA from 1 species
AGUGAACGCUGGCGGUAGGCCUAACACAUGCAAGUCGAACGGCAGCACAGUAAGAGCUUGCUCUUACGGGUGGCGAGUGGCGGACGGGUGAGGAAUACAUCGGAAUCUACUUUUUCGUGGGGGAUAACGUAGGGAAACUUACGCUAAUACCGCAUACGACCUACGGGUGAAAGCAGGUGAUCUUCGGACCUUGCGCGAUUGAAUGAGCCGAUGUCGGAUUAGCUAGUUGGCGGGGUAAAGGCCCACCAAGGCGACGAUCCGUAGCUGGUCUGAGAGGAUGAUCAGCCACACUGGAACUGAGACACGGUCCAGACUCCUAAGGGAGGCAGACGUGGGAGAAGUUGGAGAAUGGGCGCAAGCCUGAUCCAGCCAUACCGCGUGAGUGAAGAAGGACUGCAAGUUGUAAAGACCUUUUGUUGGGGAAGAAAAGCAGCAGGUUAAUACCCCGAUGUUCUGACGGUACCCAAAGAAUAAGCACCGGCUAACUUCGUG